rnacentral:rRNA from 1 species
GACAGAGGUGCCGAGCGUUAGGCGGAAUCACUGGGCUUAAAGCGUGUGUAGGCGGGUCGUUAAGUGUCUUGUGAAAUCCCACCGCUCAACGGUGGAACUGCUGGGCAUACUGGCGAUCUUGAGCCACCUAGGGGCAGACGGAACAAGCGGUGGAGCGGUGAAAUGCGUAGAUAUCGCUUGGAACGCCGACGGUGAAAACAGUCUGCUGGGGGUGUGCUGACGCUGAGACACGAAAGCCAGGGGAGCGAACAGG